AACGCUAGCUACAGGCUUAACACAUGCAGGUCGAGGGGCAGCACAGUGUAGCAAUACAUGGGUGGCGACCGGCGCACGGGUGCGUAACGCGUAUCCAACCUUCCCGUUACUCAGGGAUAGCCUUCCGAAAGGGAGAUUAAUACCUGAUGGUAUUCAAAUUCCGCAUGUUAUUUGAAUUAAAGAUUUAUCGGUAACGGAUGGGGAUGCGUGACAUUAGGUAGAUGGCGGGGUAACGGCCCACCAUGCCUACGAUGUCUAGGGGUUCUGAGAGGAAGGUCCCCCACACUGGAACUGAGACACGGUCCAGACUCCUACGGGAGGCAGCAGUGAGGAAUAUUGGUCAAUGGUCGGAAGACUGAACCAGCCAAGUAGCGUGAAGGAUGAAGGUUCUAUGGAUUGUAAACUUCUUUUAUACGGGAAUAAAACCACCUACGUGUAGGUGCUUGUAUGUACCGUAUGAAUAAGCAUCGGCUAACUCCGUGCCAGCAGCCGCGGUAAUACGGAGGAUGCGAGCGUUAUCCGGAUUUAUUGGGUUUAAAGGGAGCGUAGACGGGGGAUUAAGUCAGUUGUGAAAGGCUGCGGCUCAACCGCAGCACUGCAGUUGAUACUGGUUUCCUUGAGUGCGGUUGAGGUGUAUGGAAUUCGUGGUGUAGCGGUGAAAUGCUUAGAUAUCACGAAGAACUCCGAUUG
rnacentral:rRNA from 1 species